UAAAUCGAAAUAAAGAAAUCGGAAAAGCAAAACCAGAAUCAGAAAACGCAAAGCAGACGGGAGAGAGAAAGGAGCAGGAGGAGGAUUCCGGAGAGAGAGGGGAGGACGAAAUUUAGAUGACGAUGGACAGAGAGAAGGAGAGAGAGAUAGAGCUAGAAAGCGCAAUGUACACCAAUUGCUUGCUUUUAGGCCUGGAUCCGAACUCUAUCGGUCUCGGAGCCUCCAACGGCACUCCUCGGGUCGGGCUAUUCCGCCACUCCAACCCUAAAUUGGGCGAGCAGCUCCUCUACUUCAUCCUCUCCUCCCUCCGUGGCCCCGUUCAAUCCGCCAAAGAUUUCGAUAGGGUCUGGCCGAUUUUCGAUUCUGCACAAUCUCGCGAUUUUCGUAAGGUUGUCCAAGGGAUUAUCAGUGAGCUCGAAUCUCAAGGGGCGCUUCCAAGGAGCAACUCAAGGGUUUCGUCGCUUGCUACUUGCUGUGGACCGAGAUUUGUUGAACUUCUAUGGCAACUUUCUUUACAUGCUUUACGGGAGGUCCAUAGACGAACGUUUGCUUCUGAUGUAGCUUCCAACCCACUGCCUGCUUCUCUAACUGAUGUAGCCUUUCAGCACGCAGCUACACUUCUUCCUGUAACAAAGGCUAGAAUAGCUCUUGAAAGGAGGAGGUUUCUUCAAAAUGCAGAAACAGCUGUUCAGAGACAAGCAAUGUGGUCCAAUUUGGCUCAUGAAAUGACUGCAGAGUUUCGUGGUCUUUGUGCUGAAGAGGCUUAUUUGCAGCAGGAACUUGAAAAACUGCAUGAUUUGAGGAACAAAGUGAAGUUGGAAGGAGAAUUGUGGGAUGAUCUUGUAUCAAGUUCUAGUCAAAAUGCUCACUUAGUUUCAAAGGCUACUCGCUUGUGGGAGUCUAUAUUAGCACAUAAAAGUCAGCAUGAAGUUCUUGCUUCGGGCCCAAUUGAGGACCUAAUAGCUCAUCGGGAGCAUAGAUACCGCAUCUCUGGAUCAUCUUUGCUUUUGGCUAUGGAUCAAAGUUCUCAAGUUCCUUUUACUCAUACACAUCUAGAUGACAAAGAACCGAGUGAUGCGUCUAAUAAAAAUAUAAAUAGGGAAAAGCUGAAGGACAAUUUAGAUUCAUCCGAUCUACAAGUAAAUGACGAUACACAUCCUUGGGUGGAUGAAAGAGGUGGUAGAGUCCAUGCCACUGUUGAUGUAGCAGAAAUUAUUAGGCGUUGGACACAUGCAUUGCAGCGUAUUCACAAACAGUCGCUUCAUCUGGCCAAAGCUAAUGAUGGAGAAGGUCCAGAUUUAUUACGAAGUGCACAUGAUGGUGGUACAAGUGGCCAUGCUGAGUCUUUAGGCGCAACUCUUGCAGAACAUCAGCAACACCUGGCUAAUUUUCAGGUGCUUAUAAAUCAACUUAAGGAAGUUGCCCCUGCAAUACAACAGUCAAUAUCUGAGUGUUCAGAGAAAGUAAAUGAUAUGUCCUCCAGUCUUCCACCAAUGCCAAAGUGUCAUGGUCGAGCAACAUCACCUAUGCAGGCGCAGAGCAGUGGAAGGACCUUGGGAAGUAGCUCACAUGAUGUUGCUGAGAUUACUUCAAGAAUAUCUGCCAUUCAUCUUGACAAGGUGUCUGCAAGUCCCCCUGCUUUAAAACUACCACAGUUGUUCAGUUUGACCCCAAACUCUUCUGGAAAAGGUGGAAACGUGCAAAAGAGACAAACUUUAGCUUCGCAAACCAGCCAGAUAGAAAAUAUGUUGGAAAGGAACUCUCUUGACCAGCCUUUGUCAAAUAGUCACUUAGAUAAUACACCACAAGAUAAUGAUAGUUCUUUUGUUCAAAACUUGAAAAGAUCUGUAAGAGAAGCAGCUCUGUCUACUCAACAAUCUUUGAAUUCGGAAUCAUCUCGAGACAGUCACACUGAUGAAAGUUCUGAGCACUACUUUUUACCUCUAUCAACUACUAGAUUUUCUUACCUGGGUGUAGAAAAUAAAGUAGCUUCAAGGAGGAGUAAAAGAUUGUUUACAUCUCAAAAGAACACUGCUGUGGUUGAGAAUAAUGCUCCUGAUAGUCAAGUUGGGAAUUACAAUGAUCUACCUGAUAUUCUAAGUAAUUUGGACUCUAUUACUGAUUACGACCAUGUAAAUGGCAUUUUUUCAGCUACUGGCUCAAAUGGUGCAAUAUCUGAUGGACAUAUAUCUUUUUAUGAUAUGGAGGAAUCAAAUGAUCAGGUCUUCUCACCUCCUUUUCUAAUGGACACAUCCCUGUUAGCAGAUCCGUAUGAUGAUUUACUUGCUCCGCUGUCAGAAACUGAAAAUGCCUUAAUGGAACAUUGAAAAAUGGUGUUUAGGCAACUGUUGUUCUCGGAAUAUUUGAGGAGAUAAGAUGGUCAUGUGAUAAUACUGUUUUCAUUCAUUGAUUUGGGUUUUAUAUGCCCACUAAUUUGUUGUAUGGGUGGUGUUUGUGUGAAUUCGUCCUUCCUCUUCUGUGCCUUUUCAACCCUAUUUUUGGCACAGUUGAUAUAACUAUUGUUUUGAGGGAAAAUGUGGACCAACUCAGUGCUGUCAUUCAUUCUGAGCAACACCUACAAUUCAAGCUGGGCAUUUCAUUCGACUGCUUGUUUAAAGAUCUUGUGGGCCUCAAUUCAAGCAAAUCAGAUUGUUGUGCUAAUUCUUCUGGAUAGUUUGAUAUGGGGAAUUAUUACUAUAUCCGGUGCUUCAAGCUUAAAGUGCUUGUACGUUGCACUGAUUGGACCCUGCAAGGAAAUAAAGAACAGUUUUGUAAUCUCUAGUUGGCCUGUGAUGGAGAUCCCUUCUUUAAGUUCAAGGUUGUUUGUCAUUCUUGUCGGAUCUUCUAGUUGGUGAUGUGAAUGAGGAUGCUUCGAGCGAAUCAUCUUUGGUUUCUUUUUGUUGAUGUUAUUUGUCAUUUGGAUAAUUACCUCCAGAAAUGAAAUUGCUGAUGGAUGUUGAUUAGAGUUCA